ensembl:rRNA 5S_rRNA 5S ribosomal RNA
GUCUAUGGCCAUUCCACCCUGAACACGCCCGAUCUCGUCUGAUCUCGGAAGCUAAGCAGGGUCGGGCCUGGUUAGUACUUGGAUGGGAGAGAAAGAAAGGUUUUAUUUUUU